rnacentral:misc_RNA from 1 species
AUUAAAAAAUAAUUAAAAAUUAAAAUUGAUCAGUUUUAAUCAUAUUAACUUUUUUUUCAAAUUAUUUUUUCUUGGCAGCAUCUAAAUCUUUGCUUUUAUUCAGAAAAAAAAGUUUCAGGCUUUGAAACCCAAACAGGCCUUACGUCUGGUGCUCUUUUAAAGUUUUAUUGUGUGGUGAGAAUAUGAGAUGGUGAAAUUUAGUAAUUCACCCCAUAAGUAUAAUUGAUUAAUAUUGCUGGCAAUAUUCAUUUUCGAAAUUUUCUAUACCUCAAAUUACAUGUAUGGUGUAAGCUUUGAUUGGCCUUUUGGAAUUUGCAUAACUGGAAUCUAUUGUAAGCUUUUCAUAUAUUUGUCAAUUUGCUACGUUUUUAACUAUUUCUAUCCCAUCAAGAGUACAUGGGGACAUAUUGCUCCAGCAAUUAUUUUCGUUUUGAUAGGCUCUCUAAAAUAUUAACAAAAAUCUUGUAUGGAAGUGAGUUUGGCAGGUCGCCAAUUCUCUAAUUCUAGUUGGAUUUUAGAUGCUGCGUUAGU